AAUAGAUACCCUGGUAGUCCAUAGCCGUAACGUUGGGCGCUAGAUGUGGGGACCAUUCCGACGGUUUCCGUGUCGCAGCUAACGACAUUAAGCGCCCCGGCCUGGGGGAGUACGGCCGCAAGGACUAAAAACUACAAAAGGAAUUGGACGGGGGGCCCGCACAAGCGGGCGGAGCAUGUCGGUAUUAAUUCGAUGCAACGCGAAGAACCUUACCAAGGCUUGACAUAUACGAGAACGCUCUAGUAAAUAGGAGAACUCUUUGGACACUCGUAUACAGGUGGUGCAUGGUUGUCGUCAGCUCGUGUCGUGAGAUGUUGGGUUAAGUCCCGCAACGAGCGUCAACCCUCGUUCUAUGUUGCCAGCGGUUUCGGCCGGGAACUCAGUAGGAGACUGCCGGGGUCAACGUCGGAGGAAGGUGGGGAUGACGUCAAAUCAUCAUGCCCCGUUAUGUUCUUGGGCUUCACGCAUGCUACAAGUGGCCGGUACAAAGGGCUGCAAGUACCGUAAGGUGGAGCGAAUCCCAAAAAGCCGGUCUCAGUUCGGAUUGAGGUUCUGCAACGUCCG
rnacentral:rRNA from 1 species